AUACUUAGGUAAAUCCGGGUGUUUAAUGUCGAGAACUGAUAACGAGGCUCUCUUUGUAGAGCUGAAGUGGUUGAUGCCAUGCUUCCAAGAAAAGCCUCUAAGCUUCAGAUGAUAUGAAACCGUACUCCAAACCGACACAGGUGGACAGGGUGAGAAUCCUAAGGCGCUUGAGAGAACUCGGGUGAAGGAACUAGGCAAAAUAGCACCGUAACUUCGGGAGAAGGUGUGCCCUUGGUAUGUGAAGAAAUUUACUUUCUGAGCAGAAGAGGGUUGCAAUAACCAGGUGGCUGCGACUGUUUAUUAAAAACAUAGCACUCUGCAAACACGAAAGUGGACGUAUAGGGUGUGACGCCUGCCCGGUGCCGGAAGGUUAAUUGAUGGGGUUAGCGUAAGCGAAGCUCUUGAUCGAAGCCCCGGUAAACGGCGGCCGUAACUAUAACGGUCCUAAGGUAGCGAAAUUCCUUGUCGGGUAAGUUCCGACCUGCACGAAUGGCGUAACGAUGGCCACACUGUCUCCACCCGAGACUCAGCGAAAUUGAAUUUGCUGUUAAGAUGCAGUAUACCUGCGGCUAGACGGAAAGACCCCGUGAACCUUUACUAUAGCUUUACACUGGACUUUGAAUUUGCCUGUGUAGGAUAGGUGGGAGGCUUUGAAGCGAUAACGCUAGUUUUCGUGGAGCCACCCUUGAAAUACCACCCUGGCACGUUUGAGGUUCUAACUUAGACCCGUUAUCCGGGUUGAGGACAGUGUAUGGUGGGUAGUUUGACUGGGGCGGUCUCCUCCUAAAAAGUAACGGAGGAGUGCGAAGGUACCCUCAGCACGGUCGGAAAUCGUGCAUUGAGUGCAAAGGCAUAAGGGUGCUUAACUGCGAGACAGACACGUCGAGCAGGUACGAAAGUAGGUCUUAGUGAUCCGGUGGUUCUGUAUGGAAGGGCCAUCGCUCAACGGAUAAAAGGUACUCCGGGGAUAACAGGCUGAUUCCUCCCAAGAGUUCAUAUCGACGGGGGAGUUUGGCACCUCGAUGUCGGCUCAUCACAUCCUGGGGCUGUAGUUGGUCCCAAGGGUAUGGCUGUUCGCCAUUUAAAGUGGUACGCGAGCUGGGUUUAGAACGUCGUGAGACAGUUCGGUCCCUAUCUGCCGUAGGCGUUGGAAAUUUGAGAAGAGCUGCUCCUAGUACGAGAGGACCGGAGUGGACGUACCCCUGGUGUUCCAGUUAUCAUACCAAUGGUAUUGCUGGGUAGCUAUGUACGGACGGGAUAACCGCUGAAAGCAUCUAAGCGGGAAGCCUCCUUCAAGAUUAGAUUUCCCGAUCCUUUAAGGAUCCUCAAGGUCCGUUGAAGACUACGACGUUGAUAGGCUGGGUGUGGAAGUACAGUAAUGUAUGAAGCUAACCAGUACUAAUUGACCGUGAGGCUUGAUC
rnacentral:rRNA from 1 species